rnacentral:tRNA from 2 species
CGGGGUGUAGCUCAGCUUGGUAGAGCACUGUCUUCGGGAGGCAGAUGUCGUGCGUUCAAAUCGCGCCAUCCCGACCA